UACGUAGGGGGCGAGCGUUGUUCGGAAUUAUUGGGCGUAAAGGGUGCGUAGGCGGCCUGUUAAGUGUGUCUGUCAAACCUGAGGCUUACCUUCAGGGCUUGGACGCAAACUGGUGGGCUAGAGUCCGCGAGAGGUAGGUGGAAUUCCUGGUGUAGCAGUGAAAUGUAUAGAUAUCAGGAGGAACACCGGUGGCGAAGGCGACCUGCUGGCGCUGGACUGACGCUGAAGCACGAAAGCUGGGGGAUCAAACAGG
rnacentral:rRNA from 1 species